UCCAGGGUAGCCUAGUGGACAUGGCAUCUGCCCGGUAAGCGGAACACUGUGUGUUCGAUUCCCAUCCCUGGUC
rnacentral:tRNA from 1 species